AGAGGCCACUUCCUGUAACCAGGUACAUAUCAGGAGGCAAAUGUUGAACAACCUGAAUAUCUGAGUAGACAUCUUCAAGGAUGUUACAGGAGAGAUCUGGAACCAAGUCGAUCAAGUAGAGCCAAGAUACCCUGAACUGAGUCUUCAGCCCCUUCAUCUAACCUG